rnacentral:rRNA from 1 species
GGGCUAGCCUCAAGUGAUGAUUAUUGGAGGUAGAGCACUGUUUGGACGAGGGGCCCCUCUCGGGUUACCGAAUUCAGACAAACUCCGAAUGCCAAUUAAUUUAACUUGGGAGUCAGAACAUGGGUGAUAAGGUCCGUGUUCGAAAGGGAAACAGCCCAGACCACCAGCUAAGGUCCCAAAAUAUAUGUUAAGUGGAAAAGGAUGUGGCGUUGCCCAGACAACUAGGAUGUUGGCUUAGAAGCAGCCAUCAUUUAAAGAGUGCGUAAUAGCUCACUAGUCGAGUGACACUGCGCCGAAAAUGUACCGGGGCUAAACAUAUUACCGAAGCUGUGGAUUGUCCUUUGGACAAUGGUAGGAGAGCGUUCUAAGGGCGUUGAAGCAUGAUCGUAAGGACAUGUGGAGCGCUUAGAAGUGAGAAUGCCGGUGUGAGUAGCGAAAGACGGGUGAGAAUCCCGUCCACCGAUUGACUAAGGUUUCCAGAGGAAGGCUCGUCCGCUCUGGGUUAGUCGGGUCCUAAGCUGAGGCCGACAGGCGUAGGCGAUGGAUAACAGGUUGAUAUUCCUGUACCACCUAUAAUCGUUUUAAUCGAUGGGGGGACGCAGUAGGAUAGGCGAAGCGUGCGAUUGGAUUGCACGUCUAAGCAGUAAGGCUGAGUAUUAGGCAAAUCCGGUACUCAUUAAGGCUGAGCUGUGAUGGGGAGAAGACAUUGUGUCUUCGAGUCGUUGAUUUCACACUGCCGAGAAAAGCCUCUAGAUAGAAAAUAGGUGCCCGUACCGCAAACCGACACAGGUAGUCAAGAUGAGAAUUCUAAGGUGAGCGAGCGAACUCUCGUUAAGGAACUCGGCAAAAUGACCCCGUAACUUCGGGAGAAGGGGUGCUCUUUAGGGUUAACGCCCAGAAGAGCCGCAGUGAAUAGGCCCAAGCGACUGUUUAUCAAAAACACAGGUCUCUGCUAAACCGUAAGGUGAUGUAUAGGGGCUGACGCCUGCCCGGUGCUGGAAGGUUAAGAGGAGUGGUUAGCUUCUGCGAAGCUACGAAUCGAAGCCCCAGUAAACGGCGGCCGUAACUAUAACGGUCCUAAGGUAGCGAAAUUCCUUGUCGGGUAAGUUCCGACCCGCACGAAAGGCGUAACGAUUUGGGCACUGUCUCAACGAGAGACUCGGUGAAAUCAUAGUACCUGUGAAGAUGCAGGUUACCCGCGACAGGACGGAAAGACCCCGUGGAGCUUUACUGUAGCCUGAUAUUGAAAUUCGGCACAGCUUGUACAGGAUAGGUAGGAGCCUUUGAAACGUGAGCGCUAGCUUACGUGGAGGCGCUGGUGGGAUACUACCCUAGCUGUGUUGGCUUUCUAACCCGCACCACUUAUCGUGGUGGGAGACAGUGUCAGGCGGGCAGUUUGACUGGGGCGGUCGCCUCCUAAAAGGUAACGGAGGCGCUCAAAGGUUCCCUCAGAAUGGUUGGAAAUCAUUCAUAGAGUGUAAAGGCAUAAGGGAGCUUGACUGCGAGACCUACAAGUCGAGCAGGGUCGAAAGACGGACUUAGUGAUCCGGUGGUUCCGCAUGGAAGGGCCAUCGCUCAACGGAUAAAAGCUACCCCGGGGAUAACAGGCUUAUCUC